rnacentral:rRNA from 1 species
AUUGAACGCUGGCGGCAUGCCUUACACAUGCAAGUCGAACGGUAACAGGUCUUCGGAUGCUGACGAGUGGCGAACGGGUGAGUAAUACAUCGGAACGUGCCCGAUCGUGGUGGGUAACGAGGCGAAAGCUUUGCUAAUACCGCAUACGAUCUACGGUUGAAAGCGGGGGAUCUUCGGACCUCGCGCGGACGGAGCUGCCGAUGGCAGAUUAGGUAGUUGGUGGGAUAAAAGCUUACCAAGCCGACGAUCUGUAGCUGGUCUGAGAGGAUGAUCAGCCACACUGGAACUGAGACACGGCCCAGACUCCUACGGGAGGCAGCAGUGGGGAAUUUUGGACAAUAGGCGAAAGCCUGAUCCAGCAAUGCCGCGUGCAGGAUGAAGGCCUUCGGGUUGUAAACUGCUUUUGUACGGAACGAAAAGCCUCUUUCUAAUAAAGAGGGGUCAUGACGGUACCGUAAGAAUAAGCACCGGCUAACUACGUG